CUCACUACCAGUCAGUUGACUCACUGUACAAGACCUCUCCCCUUCACUCUGGAAGUACUCUUGACAAUAUCUUGAAAUAUAGUUUUUGGUUAUUUGUUUUUAGUCAUAAGUCAUAUACUUGAGGACUGCAGGGUGGGAGAUGCAACAAUGUCCUUGAGAACAGCAGGAAGUGUGUUGGUGGUCUUUCUCUGGUCUGUGACAGUGGUACUGGGUCAGGAUGGCUGGAGUGUUACAUACACCACUCAGAGUAUCUGUACCUUGAAGGGGUCAUCAGUGGAUCUGUUCUGCUCUUACACAUAUCCCAGAGGUAAAGUCACAACAACACUCUGGUUCACUAAAAUGGAGGCUGGUAUAGAACCUG